ACGGGGGAUGCAAGCGUUAUCCGGAUUUAUUGGGUUUAAAGGGUGCGUAGGCGGAUUUAUAAGUCAGCGGUGAAAUAUUUCAGCUUAACUGAAGGAGUGCCGUUGAUACUGUCAGGCUUGAAUAUGGUUGCUGUAGAUAGAAUGAGUGGUGUAGCGGUGAAAUGCUUAGAUAUCACACAGAAUAUCGAUUGCGAAGGCAGCUUACAAAGCCAUUAUUGACGCUGAUCCACGAAGGUGUGGGGAUCAAACAG
rnacentral:rRNA from 1 species